AAUUGUGGACUGGUGCAUUGUCCUGGUGUAGGGGCCACAGACCCAAGUGGAAGAGCUCCAGCCUUUUGCCAAGAAUCUCUUUCUGAACUCUCUCAAGAUUUCCACAAAGUGCGCUUUGUUGACUGUCUAGCCAAUGGGAACCCAGUAGAUGUAGAUGAUAUCAUUACUGUCGGAGAGUGGAUUUUCAAGAGCUUAGCGGUUGACGUGUUUUUGGCUGGCCUUCUUAGAUGCUUCCAUUAGGACAUUCGGUUUCUUAGUCUCUGAAACAUAACAGUAAAUUCAGCUUUCAUCACAUGUCGCAAGAGACUUAAGUAUUCUUGGAUUAGAGAUGAUGAGCUCAAUCAUCCUCAACCAUCCUUCUGCUAUCGGCAACGCAUAUUUCCUUCUGUUCGAUACUGAGCACGUUGGGAACUUUGCACAAAUUUUGCGCGUGUUUAGGCCUUCAUGGAUAAAUCUGUGUACAGUUACCGCACCGACUCCUAACUGUAUGCUUAUUGUCAUACAUACAUACAUACAUACAUACAUACAUACCUACCUACCUACCUAUCUACAUACAUACAUACAUACAUACAUACAUACAUACAUACAUACAUACAUAUAUACAUAUAGCGCCGUCAACAUCGGACGUGCAGGUAUAGCGGACCGUUUAAAAAGUCCGUUUUGAACGCCAUCCUCUAGAAAUAUGCCGACUUCUCCAACCUAAAUUAGUGACUGGUUUAUUUCUCCAAUGGUUAAUAAGAGAAAUACCUUUUACAAACCAACAUAGCGCUAUCCUGAACAGAUUUCAAAAUAUACAUCUACACCACGUGGAAUCUCGCUAACACGGUUAUGGCUGAAACUAACACCACCACAGAUGAAACUAAAAACGUCACAACCAAUGAAAACAGAACUACUUCACCAGUAAGUUAUUUAAGAAGACGUAGGUACUCUUCUCAUUUUACUUGGACUCAACAACUAAACCAAGAUUUACUUUGGUGCUCUGAAAAAGCCUGAGAUGACCCUUCAAUCGGAUACAUGAAGCGGUUAAAACAAUAUUGAAGCUCAUUCGAUCUUAAAUACCUUCACAGCGAUAAACUGGGAUUUUCAGAAAGAGAAAUCGACCGGCUAAUUCGUACAUCACAAGUGCAAUCUGUGAAUGGAAUAGUAAAAAUAUGCAAGACUUUUCUCACGUUCCAAAUGUGAAUUUGUCUGUGUUAACUUCAUCCCAAAGAUGGAGUCUUGCAUCUUUGUUGGAAACUGGCUCCCUCCUCUGUGGAAAAUUUAUAAUAAUUAAAAGAUAGAAGAGACAAACAUGUAUCUAUGCAUGUAUGUAUGUAUGUAUGUAUGUAUGUAUGUAUGUAUGUAUGUAUGUAUGUAUGCAUGCAUAUAUUUAUUUAUGUUUUUUAUUUAUUGUGUUUUAUUUAUGUUUUUUGUUGAUUUGUUUACGUCCUCGUAAUUCAGUGGUUCAGCAAAAGCGACCUAUAGCCAAGCUCAAAUAUAAGUGUUGGAGUGAAUCUCUUCGACUAAAACUCUUCGAGGCAGCGUUCCAGCAUGGCCACGGUUCAAUGACUGAAACAAGUAAACGGAGAGCAAAAAAAAAAAAGAAGAGAGAUGAUAAAUAAUUUGAAACUACAGACUGAAAAUCCAGAAGGCCAAGACAUCAAACUUCCUGGAGCGGCCAGUACAGACGAACAUUGUUUACUGACUUAAAAAAACAAACCCAAAGAACUUAUGAAUUACGAUACUAAACAGAUUAAUUAAUAUAUCUCUAAGAUAGGAUUGGUCAAAGAAUUCUUUAUAUAUUGAAUGUAAACACUAUUUUCUCAUAUUGGCACGAAUCCAUCCAUUUUACAGAGAACUGAAAAUCGAUGAAAUCGACACCGAAAAUUCAAUUAUCCUUAUUUGAACGAUCAUUCAAGGGGAACCAGAUAAUAUUGACCUUUGAAGGAUCGUGCUUGGAUGAUAGAUAGUGAGAAAAUAAAGAAGGUACAAGUAUAAGAAAUUAACACUAAACAGAAUUCGAUCCCAGAUUUUUUGAUGUGGGUUCUGAUGUAUGUACUUCAUAUAUUUUUAUGUAUACUGUUGGUUGGUUUUAU